rnacentral:tmRNA from 1 species
UACCGGCUCGUAAAUCCGGUGGAAAGUCACAACUGCCAACGAUAACUUGGCUCUGGCUGCGUAACUAAAACCUACUCAGCCCGUCCUUCCGGUUGCCCGCCCACGGCGGCUGGAAAGGGCGUCAUCAAGGUGGGCUGGCCUCGAGUCCUCGGUCCGGGGACGGACAGGCGAGAUCAAUCGGACUAGCCUUCGCCGGUUUCGUCCGGCCUUCACGGCGGAGGCGAAACUCCAGGUCGGACUAAGCCUGUAGAGUCUUCCGUAGGCGUGCUUCCGGACGCGGGUUCAAUUCCCGCCGCCUCCACCA